rnacentral:rRNA from 1 species
GGCUCAGGAUGAACGCUAGCGGCAGGCUAACACAUGCAAGUCGAGGGGUAGAGUUAGCUUGCUAACUUGAGACCGGCGCACGGGUGCGUAACGCGUAUGCAAUCUGCCUUGUACUGAGGGAUAGCCCAGAGAAAUUUGGAUUAAUACCUCAUAGUAUAUUCUGGUGGCAUCACCGGAUUAUUAAAGUUCCAACGGUACAAGAUGAGCAUGCGUCCCAUUAGUUAGUUGGUAAGGUAACGGCUUACCAAGACAAUGAUGGGUAGGGGUCCUGAGAGGGAGAUCCCCCACACUGGUACUGAGACACGGACCAGACUCCUACGGGAGGCAGCAGUGAGGAAUAUUGGUCAAUGGGCGCAAGCCUGAACCAGCCAUGCCGCGUGCAGGAUGACGGUCCUAUGGAUUGUAAACUGCUUUUAUACGGGAAGAAACACUCCUACGUGUAGGAACUUGACGGUACCGUAAGAAUAAGGAUCGGCUAACUCCGUGCCAGCAGCCGCGGUAAUACGGAGGAUCCAAGCGUUAUCCGGAAUCAUUGGGUUUAAAGGGUCCGUAGGCGGCUUUAUAAGUCAGUGGUGAAAGCCCAUCGCUUAACGAUGGAACGGCCAUUGAUACUGUAGAGCUUGAAUUACUGUGAAGUAACUAGAAUAUGUAGUGUAGCGGUGAAAUGCUUAGAUAUUACAUGGAAUACCAAUUGCGAAGGCAGGUUACUAACAGUGGAUUGACGCUGAUGGACGAAAGCGUGGGGAGCGAACAGGAUUAGAUACCCUGGUAGUCCACGCCGUAAACGAUGGAUACUAGCUGUUU